CAGAGGGGGCAAGCGUUGUUCGGAAUUACUGGGCGUAAAGGGCGCGUAGGCGGCCUUCUAAGUCGAACGUGAAAUCCCCGGGCUCAACCCGGGAACUGCGUCCGAUACUGGAAGGCUUGAAUCCGGGAGCGGGGAUGCGGAAUUCCAGGUGUAGCGGUGAAAUGCGUAGAUAUCUGGAGGAACACCGGUGGCGAAGGCGGCAUCCUGGACCGGCAUUGACGCUGAGGCGCGAAAGCCAGGGGAGCAAACGGGAUUAGAUACCCCGGUAGUCCUGGCCCUAAACGAUGAAUGCUUGGUGUGGCGGGUAUCGAUCCCUGCCGUGCCGAAGCUAACGCAUUAAGCAUUCCGCCUGGGGAGUACGGUCGCAAGGCUG
rnacentral:rRNA from 1 species